rnacentral:tRNA from 2 species
CGGAGCGUGGCGCAGCCUGGUAGCGCACCUGUUUUGGGAACAGGGGGUCGGAGGUUCGAAUCCUCUCGCUCCGACCA